CAAUUUUAUUUCAUCUAAAAUUCUUAGUUCAUGUAUAUUUAUUACGUGUUUUUGGUAAACAUAUUUUCUUUGGGGUUUUAGGUAUUUGAAGAUGGAUGAGGAUGAUAAUAUCAACAUGAUCGAUGAACAAAAUUUUUUAAAGAUUUGUUCAAGUGACAAUGUGAUUGAUUUAUUCACCAAGUCUUUUUCAACUGCAACUUUCAAGAAAAUGGUGCACAAGAUUAGGGUGCAAAGAUUCAUUGAUGUUCUCGUCAGGGGAAGCAAAUACACGUUGUACUCUUUUUUCCUUACG